AUGGAGUGGGUGGUUCGCCGGCAGCGCCGUGGAGAGGAAGGCGCUGUCGGGUUGGUGGUUUGUGGCGGCGGUGAUCUUCUCCGGUGGCGGGGUUCUGCGGAAUCCGACCACUUCCCCGCCUCCUUCCUGGUGCUCGUAACUCGGCGGAGUUGCCGUGCGCCUUCUUCCCGUGCCGGAGUCCGUAGGCGGCGGCUCCGGUUGUUGAAAGUUUGGAAGAUGCAGGUGAUGAGGUCCAGAUCGAAGGCGAUGGCGACGAUGCAAGGUGGAGGCCCUUUGGGUUCGAGGUCCGUUGACUUCCCGACCGCCAUGGGACUCCGUCCGAUCCAAGGUUGUAGAGGAGGAGCGGCGGCGGCGCGCCAGCGGCACGUCUUCAUCGACGGCGGCGUCUUCCUUAUCCUUAAGGACUUGUUUGUAAUUGUCUUAUCUUUUGAGGACUGUUCUUAUAUAUGCCGCGCGCAUGCAUGGUAUAAGGCACCCUACGCAUGGGAACAUCUUAGGCUCACCGUCUUAAAGAAUAUAGGAGCAUUAGAGUUCGUAGGCAUUGAUAAUUUUUGGGAGCAUAUGAUUCAGGAGACUACACUAGUCCAUGUAGUGCAUAUAGUAGCCCAUCAUGCCCACACCAACAAUGUCUAUGAAAAGCAUUGCGUCAACUCGACACAAGGGGCUUUUGCUUCUAUGCACAGCCCGCUUUUGGGGUUCACCACUCAUGCUGGUAGCAUCCUAUGGGGGGAGCGGAUUAAAGAAGAAGGUUGGGGAAAGCAAAGGGUCCUCAUGCCAAGUCAUUAA
rnacentral:rRNA from 1 species